rnacentral:rRNA from 1 species
CAGCACCUCAAGUGGUCAGGAUGAUUAUUGGGCCUAAAGCAUCCGUAGCCGGCUCUGUAAGUUUUCGGUUAAAUCUGUACGCUCAACGUACAGGCUGCCGGGAAUACUGCAGCGCUAGAGAGUGGGAGAGGUAGACGGUACUCGGUAGGAAGGGGUAAAAUCCUUUGAUCUAUUGAUGACCACCUGUGGCGAAGGCGGUCUACCAGAACACGUCCGACGGUGAGGGAUGAAAGCUGGGGGAGCAAACCGGAUUAGAUACCCGAGUAGUCC